GGAAUAUUGGACAAUGGGCGCAAGCCUGAUCCAGCCAUGCCGCGUGAGUGAAGAAGGCCUUCGGGUUGUAAAGCUCUUUUGUCCGGAAAGAAAAGCUUUCGGUUAAUACCCGGAAGUUCUGACGGUACCGGAAGAAAAAGCACCGGCUAACUCUGUGCCAGCAGCCGCGGUAAUACAGAGGGUGCGAGCGUUAAUCGGAAUUACUGGGCGUAAAGCGUGCGUAGGCGGUCUCGUGUGUCGGGUGUGAAAGCCCCGGGCUCAACCUGGGAAUGGCAUCCGAAACUGCGAGGCUAGAGUGCGGAAGAGGGAAGUGGAAUUUCCGGUGUAGCGGUGAAAUGCGUAGAUAUCGGAAGGAACACCAGUGGCGAAAGCGACUUCCUGGUCCAGCACUGACGCUCAGGCACGAAAGCGUGGGGAGC
rnacentral:rRNA from 1 species